GAUGAAGAACGCAGCGAAAUGCGAUAAGUAAUGUGAAUUGCAGAAUUCAGUGAAUCAUCGAAUCUUUGAACGCACAUUGCGCCCGCCAGUAUUCUGGCGGGCAUGCCUGUUCGAGCGUCAUUUCAACCAUCAAGCCCCCGGGCUUGUGUUGGGGACCUGCGGCUGCCGCAGGCCCUGAAAAGCAGUGGCGGGCUCGCUGUCACACCGAGCGUAGUAGAUUUUAUCUCGCUCAGGGCGUGCUGCGGGUUCCGGCCGUUAAACCACCUUCAUAAUCCAAGGUUGACCUCGGAUCAGGUAGGAAGACCCGCUGAACUUAAGCAUAUCAAUAAGCGGAGGA
rnacentral:misc_RNA from 1 species